rnacentral:rRNA from 1 species
GAUGAACGCUGGCUACAGGCUUAACACAUGCAAGUCGAGGGGAAACGACGGGGAAGCUUGCUUCCCCGGGCGUCGACCGGCGCACGGGUGAGUAACGCGUAUCCAACCUGCCUCUGACUGAGGGAUAACCCGUCGAAAGUCGGCCUAAUACCUCAUGGCAUCGUCUGCGGGCAUCCAACGACGAUUAAAGAUUUCAUCGGUCAGGGAUGGGGAUGCGUCUGAUUAGCUUGUUGGCGGGGUAACGGCCCACCAAGGCUACGAUCAGUAGGGGUUCUGAGGGGAAGGUCCCCCACAUUGGAACUGAGACACGGUCCAAACUCCUACGGGAGGCAGCAGUGAGGAAUAUUAGUCAAUGGGCGGGAGCCUGAACCAGCCAAGUAGCGUGCAGGAUGACGGCCCUAUGGGUUGUAAACUGCUUUUAUGCGGGGAUAAAGUGAGGGACGUGUCCUUCAUUGCAGGUACCGCAUGAAUAAGGACCGGCUAAUUCCGU